CCUACGGGGGGCAGCAGUGAGGAAUAUUGGUCAAUGGGCGCGAGCCUGAACCAGCCAAGUAGCGUGAAGGAUGACUGCCCUACGGGCUGUAAACUUCUUUUAUAAAGGAAUAAAGUGAGGCACGUGUGCCUUUUUGUACGUACUUUAUGAAUAAGGAUCGGCUAACUCCGUGCCAGCAGCCGCGGUAAUACGGAGGGUCCGAGUGUUAUCCGGAUUUAGUGGGUUUAAAGGGAGCGUAGAUGGGUUGUUAAGUCAGUUGUGAAAGUUUGCGGCUCAACCGUAAAAUUGCAAUUGAUACUGGCAGUCUUGAGUACAGUUGGGGUAGGCGGAAUUCGUGGUGUAGCGGUGAAAUGCGUAGAUAUCACGAAGAACACCGAUUGCGAAGGCAGCUUACUAAACUGCCACUGACAUUGAUGCUCGAAAGUGUGGGUAUCAAGCAGGAUUAGAUACCCCAGUAGUC
rnacentral:rRNA from 1 species